AAAGAUUUAGGAUAGAAUUAAGACCAAAAGCCUUCAAAGCUUUAAGCAGGAGUGAAAAUCUCCUAAUCUUUG
rnacentral:tRNA from 1 species